rnacentral:lncRNA from 1 species
CAGGCAUGUGGUCGAUCGAAAUUCAAUUUAAAGACUUGAGGAAAUAAAAAACUAAUUAUAUUAUAACGCAAAAGGUAGAACCCACACCUAGGGUCCAAAGGUUGCAAAAAAAUGAAAAACAAUGUUAAAAAGGCAAAAAAACCUCUUCAACUUUCUCGUCCUCGUCCUCUUCCCCGUCGACCCCGUCCACCAACACCAGUUGCUUGUUGACAACAUCUUUCGAGUUGUCGUAACGGUUAUCCUCAAUCAGGGUGUCGUGAAAAAAGGUCACUUGUCGGGAUACCUUGGUUGAAGCCUUCUUUACUAAUACGAAUAAGAAAUGAUUGGUAAUGAGCCAAUUCUUCUUGCACCGCCUUCUUCUCGACCGUCAACUUCUCCUGAGCAUAAGUCAUCUCAGUACGACUCUGCUCUAGCUCCUUUACUUCAGUUUGAAGGGAGGCAGUUUGGGACCAGACGUUGUCAAACUUAGUCUUGACUUGGUGGGAUUCUUCUUCAAAAGUACCCUUGGCUUCUAAAGCCUCUUUUACAGAAAUAACCAACUUUUAGGUGGCAGCGAUGAAGUUCUUUUGGAUCUCAAUCCCGAUCACCGGGAGAUCACCAAAGAAUGGCUCAUCAUCUCAACGAUGGUUUCCUCUUCAGUGGAGGUAAGUGCAACUUGCACACAGGGCAAUUUGAAGGUUCUCCCCCUAGAGCGUGGAAGAAUCCAAGCCGAUCUCUUGUGAAGAUUGGGGGGCGGUCUUGUGAGGAAACCGUUCGGUCCUUCCUCUUUUCUCAUGCUUCCAAGGGCGCCCCUCGACGUUAGAGGGAGGCACCAAGUCAAUGAUAAGGGUGGACGAACCUCCACCGACUAGCUGCAACGAGCCCCUCUCUUAGUUGGCUGCUUGCCAACGAAGUUGCUUCAUCAUAUCUACCACUUCGGCUUCGGGGUCAGAUUGAGCCAUUAUGCCUACAAACAUAAAAUUAAGCACGAUCAACAAACUUAGGAAACUAAAAGUAGUUUAAAUUCUACAUACUAGAAAAAAUCUACUCAACAGGUGGACGACUGUUAUACAAUAAGUAUCCUAUGAGAGGGAGUCUAUUUUGAAGUUGAUCAAACACGUAAAAAAUUUCAUUAUCUUACGAAGUUAUAGUAGACCUCGGCCUAGAUUUUAAC